rnacentral:rRNA from 1 species
GUACCAGACUCCUACGGGAGGCAGCAGUGGGGGAUAUUGCACAAUGGGGGGAACCCUGAUGCAGCGACGCCGCGUGGGUGAAGGAGCACCUCGGUGCGUAAAGCCCUAUCGGCAGGGAAGAAAAGCGAACAGGUUCGCCUGGACGGUACCUGACUAAGAAGCCCCGGCUAACUACGUGCCAGCAGCCGCGGUAAUACGUAGGGGGCAAGCGUUGUCCGGAAUCAUUGGGCGUAAAGAGUUCGUAGGCGGUAUGUUAAGUCUGGUGUUAAAUGCAGAAGCUCAACUUCUGUUCGGCACUGGAUACUGGCAAACUAGAAUGCGGUAGAGGUAAAGGGAAUUCCUGGUGUAGCGGUGAAAUGCUUAGAUAUCAGGAGGAACAUCGGUGGCGUAAGCGCUUUACUGGGCCGUAAUUGACGCUGAGGAACGAAAGCCAGGGUAGCAAAUGGGAUUAGAUAC